UACUUCUCAAAAACUGAAUCGACAUCUCAUUUAGAUCUAGUAAUCAUCAUGAAUUUCAUCAAUUUAAAUGUUUCGGACGUUCCUAAUUCCCAUCUCUUUCUCUUUGUUGUAACAAUGAUUCAUGUCCUUUAUAUUAUUUGGAUCAUUUAUUUGUAUUUACCCUUCAUAUCAUUCUCUUUCUCUCUGUAAUCUCAGGAUAUGAUUUCUGGGAUGGAAUUCAGUGAUUCCUUUGAGUAUCUCCACCAUUCCAAAGAGGUUAUGGUGCAAGCCACUGUUUUCGGAUUUAAGAAAACGCGAGACCAGACUGAUGCAUCAUGUCUAGAUAAGAGACCAGACUGAUGAAUCAUGUCUAGAUCAGAGACCAGAGACUGAUGAAUCAUGUCUAGAUCAGAGACCAUACUGAUGAAUAAUGUAUAGAUCACGGGAAAACCUGGGAGAGCCGGAGAGGUCAAGGUUCACGUUGGUUAUGUGGCUCAGAUCUCUUCUCUUUCUGAUUCUAUACACACAGAAGGUGUUAUUGUUGAGACUGAGACCAAGCUAUAUGACUCUAAAUUAAUUUGAGGUUAGGUCUUUGGAGAAACGUGUUACACUGUUCCCGGAAGAAAGAGCAAACAGAAGGGACUCAUCAUCAUCCUUCGAAGUGGCAACUCUGGAAGAAGCCACGAAACAAUCCUACAAAUAUGUUUAACCAUGAGAUCAAGAAAAGAUGUUUAUGUUUCUUAAUGUUUGGUUGCUCUUAUAGUGCAUGUAGAUUUUAACAGAGUAGGAGCUCCUUUUCUAGAGAUCGAAUCUUAACUUUAUAUGAGAAGUGGGAUUGGAUCCAUUGAAUACACCAGUGAGAUGCAAUGGAUUGUGAGAGAGCAAUGGGAAUAUCCAAGAAGGCCCUCUCCACUGCGAUGCUAACAUCUCAAUCCGUCCAAUUGUGCAAGCUAAGUUUGGCACCAAGGUGGAAAUUAAGAGUUUGAGUGCAUAUCAGUAAUUAACAAGCAC